CCCCCCGUGGUCUUUGGAUCCCAACAAAGUAUUGGGGUUCCCCCAAUGUCUUAGGGUCAACCCCUAGGUCUUGAGGUCCCCCCCAAUGUUUUAGGGUCAAUGCUGAGGUCUUGGGGUCCCAUCAAGGCCUUGAGGUGCCCCCCAAUGUCUUAGGGUCAACGCAAAUGUCUUGGGGUCCCAUCAAGGUCUUGGGGUCCCAUCAAGGUCUUGGGGUUCCACCAAGGCCUUGGGGUCCCCCCCAAUGUCUUAGGGUCAACCCCUAGGUCUUGGGGUCCCAUCAAGGUCUUGGGGUCCCCCCCGGUUUCUUAGGGUCAACCCCUAAGUCUUGGGGUCCCCCCAAUGUCUUGGGGUCCCCCUCAAUGUUUUAGGGUCAACGCCCAGGUCUUGGGGUCACCCCCUAUGUCUUGGGGUACCACCAAAAUCUU